GUGAGCCGUGUAAUAGGCGACCAUUUCGCGCGGUUCGGGGGGUACUUGAGUCAGCCGCCGGCCCGACUGCGUCUUGACCCCUAU
rfam:Beta vulgaris subsp. vulgaris Bvchr6.sca018.con0045.1, whole genome shotgun sequence.